UACGUAGGGGGCAAGCGUUGUCCGGAAUCAUUGGGCGUAAAGCGCGUGUAGGCGGCUCAGUAAGUCCGCUCUGAAAGCCCGGGGCUUAACCCCGGGAGGCGGGUGGAUACUGCUGAGCUUGAGUCCGGAAGAGGCGAGUGGAAUUCCCGGUGUAGCGGUGAAAUGCGCAGAUAUCGGGAGGAACACCAAUGGCGAAGGCG
rnacentral:rRNA from 1 species